GAUGGCGCAGUUGGUAGCACUGUUGCCUUGCAUCAAGUAGGUCCUGGGUUCGAUUCCCGGUACU